GAGUUUGAUCCUGGCUCAGAUUGAACGCUGGCGGCAGGCCUAACACAUGCAAGUCGAGCGGAUGACGGGAGCUUGCUCCUUGAUUCAGCGGCGGACGGGUGAGUAAUGCCUAGGAAUCUGCCUGGUAGUGGGGGACAACGUUUCGAAAGGAACGCUAAUACCGCAUACGUCCUACGGGAGAAAGCAGGGGACCUUCGGGCCUUGCGUUAUCAGAUGAGCCUAGGUCGGAUUAGCUAGUUGGUGGGGUAAUGGCCCACCAAGGCGACGAUCCGUAACUGGUCUGAGAGGAUGAUCAGUCACACUGGAACUGAGACACGGUCCAGACUCCUACGGGAGGCAGCAGUGGGGAAUAUUGGACAAUGGGCGAAAGCCUGAUCCAGCCAUGCCGCGUGUGUGAAGAAGGUCUUCGGAUUGUAAAGCACUUUAAGUUGGGAGGAAGGGCAGUAAGUUAAUACCUUGCUGUUUUGACGUUACCGACAGAAUAAGCACCGGCUAACUCUGUGCCAGCAGCCGCCG
rnacentral:rRNA from 1 species